rnacentral:rRNA from 1 species
GAAGUGAACGCUGGCGGCAGGCCUAACACAUGCAAGUCGAACGGAUCCUUCGGGAUUAGUGGCGGACGGGUGAGUAACGCGUGGGAACAUACCCUUUGGUACGGAAUAGCCUCGGGAAACUGGGAGUAAUACCGUAUGUGGUCGAGAGACGAAAGAUUUAUCGCCAAAGGAUUGGCCCGCGUUGGAUUAGGUAGUUGGUGGGGUAAAGGCUCACCAAGCCAACGAUCUGUAGCUGGUCUGAGAGGACGACCAGCCACACUGGAACUGAGACACGGUCCAGACUCCUACGGGAGGCAGCAGUGGGGAAUUUUCCGCAAUGGGCGAAAGCCUGACGGAGCAAUACCGCGUGAGGGAAGAAUGCCUAUGGGUUGUAAACCUCUUUUUUCAGGGAGGAAUAAAAUGACGUGUACCUGAAGAAUAAGCAUCGGCUAACUCCGUG